rnacentral:rRNA from 1 species
GUGACGGCGUACCUUUUGUAUAAUGGGUCAUCGACUUGGUCUAUCUAGCAAGCUUAAGCCGAUAGGUGUAGGCGCAGCGAAAGCGAGUCUUAAUAGGGCGUCGAGUUAGAUGGAUCAGACCCGAAACCGAGUGAUCUAGGCAUGACCAGGAUGAAGGUAAGGUAACACUUACUGGAGGUCCGAACCCACACCUGUUGAAAAAGGUCGGGAUGAGUUGUGCCUAGGGGUGAAAGGCCAAUCAAACUCGGAGAUAGCUGGUUCUCCGCGAAAUCUAUUUAGGUAGAGCGUCAUCCGAAUACCCCGGGGGGUAGAGCACUGGAUGGGUAAUGGGGCCCCACAGGCUUACUGAUCCUAACCAAACUCCGAAUACCCGGGAGUACUAGAUGGCAGACACACUGCGGAUGCUAACGUCCGUAGUGGAGAGGGAAACAACCCUGACCUACAGCUAAGGCCCCCAAUUCAUGGCUAAGUGGGAAAGCAGGUGGGACGACCAAAACAACCAGGAGGUUGGCUUAGAAGCAGCCAUCCUUUAAAGAUAGCGUAACAGCUCACUGGUCUAAACAAGUUGUCCUGCGGCGAAGAUGUAACGGGGCUCAAGCCAUGAGCCGAAGCUUAGGAUGCCGUAAGGCAUGGUAGCGGAGCGUAGUGUGAUAUAGGAUAGCCGAUAGGCGGUAGCGCAGGAGAAAGUCUUUUCUGUGAAGCCGGCCUGUGAGGGAUCCGGUGGAGAGAUCACUAGCGAGAAUGAUGACAUGAGUAGCGACAAAGAGUGUGAGAGACACUCUCGCCGAAAGUCCAAGGGUUCCUGCUUAAAGCUAAUCUGAGCAGGGUAAGCCGACCCCUAAGGCGAGGCCGAAAGGCGUAGUCGAUGGGAACCAGGUUAAUAUUCCUGGGCCAGGAGGAUGUGACGGAUUGUGGCGGCGUGCGUGCCUUAUCGGAUUGGCGCGUAUCCAAGACAGUCCCAGGAAAUAGCCCUCCAUGAGAUCGUACCCUAAACCGACACAGGUGGACUGGUAGAGAAUACCAAGGCGCUUGAGAGAACGAUGUUGAAGGAACUCGGCAAAAUACCUCCGUAAGUUCGCGAGAAGGAGGCCCGGUACACGACUACCGGGGGCACAAACCAGGGGGUGGCGACUGUUUAUUAAAAACACAGGGCUCUGCGAAGUCGCAAGACGACGUAUAGGGUCUGACGCCUGCCCGGUGCCUGAAGGUUAAAAGGAGGGGUGCAAGCUCCGAAUUGAAGCCCAGGUAAACGGCGGCCGUAACUAUAACGGUCCUAAGGUAGCGAAAUUCCUUGUCGGGUAAGUUCCGACCUGCACGAAUGGCGUAACGACUUCCCCGCUGUCUCCAACAUCGACUCAGCGAAAUUGAAUUGCCUGUCAAGAUGCAGGCUUCCCGCGGUUAGACGGAAAGACCCCGUGCACCUUCACUACAGCUUCGCACUGGCAUCAGGCACAACAUGUGCAGGAUAGGUGGUAGGCUUUGAAGCAGGGACGCCAGUCCCUGUGGAGCCUCCCUUGAGAUACCACCCUUGUUCUGCUUGAUGUCUAACCGCGGCCCGUUAUCCGGGUCCGGGACCCUGCGUGGUGGGUAGUUUGACUGGGGCGGUCGCCUCCUAAAGCGUAACGGAGGCGCGCGAAGGUUGGCUCAGAGCGGUCGGAAAUCGCUCGUUGAGUGCAAUGGCAGAAGCCAGCCUGACUGCAAGACUGACAAGUCGAGCAGAGUCGAAAGACGGCCAUAGUGAUCCGGUGGUCCCAAGUGGGAGGGCCAUCGCUCAACGGAUAAAAGGUACGCCGGGGAUAACAGGCUGAUACUGCCCAAGAGUCCAUAUCGACGGCAGUGUUUGGCACCUCGAUGUCGGCUCAUCUCAUCCUGGGGCUGGAGCAGGUCCCAAGGGUAUGGCUGUUCGCCAUUUAAAGAGGUACGUGAGCUGGGUUUAGAACGUCGUGAGACAGUUCGGUCCCUAUCUGCCGUGGGUGUAGGAUACUUGAGAGGAGUUGCCCCUAGUACGAGAGGACCGGGGUGAACGAUCCACUGGUGGACCUGUUGUUGCGCCAGCAGCAGUGCAGGGUAGCUAUGAUCGGACAGGAUAACCGCUGAAGGCAUCUAAGCGGGAAGCCCCCCUCAAAACAAGGUAUCCCUGAGGACCGUGGAAGACCACCACGUCGAUAGGCCGGAGAUGUAAGCACAGCAAUGUGUUCAGUUGACCGGUACUAAUGGUCCGAUAGGCUUGAUUUG